rnacentral:rRNA from 1 species
GGGUCCUACGGGGGGCAGCAGUGAGGAAUAUUGCACAAUGGGGGAAACCCUGAUGCAGCGACGCCGCGUGAGUGAAGAAGUAUUUCGGUAUGUAAAGCUCUAUCAGCAGGGAAGAAAAUGACGGUACCUGACUAAGAAGCCCCGGCUAACUACGUGCCAGCAGCCGCGGUAAUACGUAGGGGGCAAGCGUUAUCCGGAUUUACUGGGUGUAAAGGGAGCGUAGACGGCAGAGCAAGUCUGAA